UUCCGGAGGGAGUGACGGGAACAGCCCACACACGGGUCAGACUGCAGCGCGCUGUGGACAAGUCUUCUCUACAACUGGGACGCAGGGUCUCCUCUAAAUCUGAGAUUUCUUCUCAACUCCGACAGGAUUUUCCUGAACCUCCGUGCGUUUUGUGCAGCGACGUCGUCGAGUUGAUGCCAGCCGGCAGGAGGAAGAAGUGAAAGCGGAAAAAGCAGAAAGUUGCUACUGAGUGAGACGGUAAGACUGGGCAGGAGCUGACAUGGGGUGUGGACUCACGUGUGUCAAGUAUCUACUCUUCAUCUUCAACUUUAUAUUCUGGGUGGCAGGAGGGGGUGUUCUGGCUAUCGGGCUAUGGAUGCGGAUUGACAGAGCGACCUUCGACCCUCUCCUGGGAAUCGACUACUACCCCAUUGUCUGCUGGACGCUGAUCGGCGUCGGCGGUUUCGUCUUUCUCGUCGGUUUCCUCGGCUGCUGUGGCGCCGUCCAGGAGUCCAAGUGCAUGCUGGGAUUUUAUUUCUUCUUGUUGAUAGUGGUAUUUGUUGGAGAGGUGGGAGCUGGGAUUCUGGCAUAUUACUAUCAUGAUGAGGUGAGAACGUGGAUGGACAGUCACAUGGAAAGGACCAUCAAGAACAACUAUGGGUUUGUACCAGCCGUCACAGCAGCAGUCACAACCAUGCAGGAACAGAUGAAGUGUUGUGGUGGAGACAGAAGCUAUGUAGACUGGAUGAGUUCAAAGUACUUCACGGAGGGGAAGGCUCCGGCCAACACGUCCGUCCCACUGUCCUGCUGUAGGGACCAGACUGAAGCAGGCUGCAACAGGGGACAACCUGGGCAACCUGCCGACAUCAGUAAAAUCUUCACACAAGGCUGUAUUCGCAGUAUGGAAUUGUGGGUACAGGAACAAGUCUGGAUCCUGGGAGGAGUGGGAGUUGGUGUCGGGUUACUACAGCUUCUGGGCCUCAUCUUUAUCUGCUGUUACUGUAAAGCUAUAGAUGACUACUAUGCCUACUGAGACCCACCCUCCCCUAGCUGGAGAAACUAGAGCUGCUUGAUGGCACAGGUUGCUGUUUGGAAUGGUCUUUGCCUGCUGCCUGAUGAAGGCUGUGGAAGAUGAGUAUGAAUGAUGGGAAGGCAGCCAGGAAUCCUGGGAAGGGUACAAGGCAUCCUGAGAAACAUGCAGGAGGAAUCACAAGAAAUCCCAGACAAUUCUGUUCCAGAUGGCAGAUUAUAUAUUUAUAUAGCUUUAAUUGUCAAGUACUACAGUAGUACAUAUAUCUAUGAAAUCAUCAAUGUGGAUAUCCACAAAAUCUAUAAUUUUUAAUGAAAAAUGAUGAUACAAUGUACCUUUAUUCCAAUCUGCCAUAUUCUUUUUUGUGUUAAAUUUCUCAUUGUCAAUGUAAAAAAGCCAUUUUUUAAAACAUUUAGUAGCUGUAAGGUACAACCUUUGUUGAUUACUGUACAUUAAAUUUUGUGUAUCCGUUGAGCAAUAUGUAGAUAAUCGCCUUUUUGUUCUUGCCAGCAUUUGUGCACUAGUGUCAUCCGUUGCAAAUAAUGACAUGUACAUGUACAAUGUAGAUCAGUGCAAAUUGUUUUGUGUAUGCAAUGUGUUCUUUGACUUUGGAAGGAUUUUCAAUAAUGCUGGUACAUGUAUUGGGUUGGCUUUUUUAUAAAAUGGUAGCAUAUUGGGUUAUACCAUUGUGGAACCUAAGGCUGUCAAUUUCUU